AUACGGAGGAUCCGAGCGUUAUCCGGAUUUAUUGGGUUUAAAGGGUGCGCAGGCGGCCAUUUAAGUCAGCGGUUAAAUCGUGGGGCUCAACCCCAUUCUGCCGUUGAUACUGGGUGGCUUGAUUGCGGUCGAGGUUGGCGGAAUUCGUUGUGUAGCGGUGAAAUGCAUAGAUAUGACGAAGAACACCGAUUGCGUAGGCAGCUGACCAGGCCGCAAAUGACGCUCAUGCUCGAAAGUGCGGGGAUCGAACAGGAUUAGAUACCCUGGUAGUCCGCACAGUAAACGAUGAAUACUUGUUUUCGGCGAUAUAAUGUCGGAGGCAAAGCGAAAGCGAUAAGUAUUCCAUCUGGGGAGUACGCCGGCAACGGUGAAACUUAAAGGAAUUGACGGGG
rnacentral:rRNA from 1 species